UUGUCCCUUCCCCUCUCUCGUUCCCUUUGUCAUUUCCCACACGCAACCGAACAGAGUCGAGAGAGAGAGGGAGAGAGGGAUCCAUGGCGACUUGGAGCUCUCCUAUCCGGCCGCUUAGUUCACUAGGGUGGUCGUCAGGCGUCCGACGUUCUUCCUCCAGCUGCCCCCGCACGGAAGUCUGCAGCAUCUCUCGGGCACCGCGCCCACCUGGCCCCCAAUUUUUCCCCGCCGGCAUUUCUGGUUUGAUCCUGUGAUUUGAAAAUUAAGGAUUCAUAAACACCAUGUUGAUAUGAGGGAAUGCUGCAGUUGGAUUGAUGUACUUGACAGAAGCAUCAGGGAGAGAGGUGAUUUAGGGAGGGCACCUGACAUGUGAUUAUUCCAUAGUGUAAAUUAGACUGGUCGUUUCAGUAACUUCAUUUUUUUACAUGUGAGAAUAGUGUCAGUGGCUGCACUUCCUAGUUUAGUUCAGGUGUUCGCUUUUACUGUAGUCUUCCUUACGCUUUUGUAUUUGGGCCUCAUGACGUUGUUAUAAGGAAGAGACUUGAUGGAGACAACGUGCAUACAUUCAGGAGAGUGGUGUACAGUGGACAGGAACUCUUGUCAAGUUGUAAUUGGUUGAAAAAAACGACUGAACUCCAAUUGGUUUUCAUCCGGCUGUAAAGUAGACAGCCUAAUAAUAUUGAUUUUCUAUUGUGGA